CCUACGGGAGGCAGCAGUAGGGAAUCUUCCGCAAUGGGCGAAAGCCUGACGGAGCAACGCCGCGUGAGUGAUGAAGGCCUUCGGGUUGUAAAACUCUGUCUUCUGUGAAGAACCAUCCUGUGCAGAGAAAGCUCAGGACCUGACGGUAACAGAGGAGGAAGCCCCGGCUAACUACGUGCCAGCAGCCGCGGUAAUACGUAGGGGGCAAGCGUUGUCCGGAAUCACUGGGCGUAAAGCGCGCGCAGGCGGUCUUUCACGUCCGGGGUGAAAGCCCAGAGCUCAACUCUGGGAUUGCCUUGGAUACGGGGAGACUUGAGGAUCGGAGAGGCAAGGGGAAUUCCACGUGUAGCGGUGAAAUGCGUAGAGAUGUGGAGGAACACCUGUGGCGAAGGCGCCUUGCUGGCCGAUUUCUGACGCUGAGGCGCGAAAGCGUGGGGAGCAAACAGGAUUAGAUACCCUGGUAGUCCACGCCGUAAACGAUGAGUGCUAGGUGUUAGGGGGCCCACCCCGUUAGUGCCGAAGCUAACGCAUUAAGCACNCCGCCGUCGGGAGGUACGGUCGCGAGACGUAGAACGUAACGUAAGUAGUAGACGNGAGAGAGCGACGACGACGACGAGGAGGGAGGAGG
rnacentral:rRNA from 1 species